rnacentral:rRNA from 1 species
CUACGGGUGGCUGCAGUGAGGAAUAUUGGUCAAUGGGCGCAAGCCUGAACCAGCCAUGCCGCGUGCAGGAUGACUGCCCUAUGGGUUGUAAACUGCUUUUAUAUACCAAGAAACCUUUCCACGUGUGGGAAGCUGACGGUAGUAUAUGAAUAAGGACCGGCUAACUCCGUGCCAGCAGCCGCGGUAAUACGGAGGGUCCAAGCGUUAUCCGGAUUUAUUGGGUUUAAAGGGUGCGUAGGCGGAUUAUUAAGUCAGUGGUGAAAGCCCGGAGCUCAACUUCGGAACUGCCAUUGAUACUGAUAGUCUUGAGUAUAUUUGGAGUGGGCGGAAUGUGUCAUGUAGCGGUGAAAUGCUUAGAUAUGACCCAGAACACCGAUCGCGAAGGCAGCUCACUAAACUAUUACUGACGCUGAGGCACGAAAGCGUGGGUAGCGAACAGGAUUAGAUACCCGGGUAGUC